rnacentral:rRNA from 1 species
GAUGAACGCUGGCGGCGGGCUUAAUACAUGCAAGUCGAGGGGCAGCGCAGUGUAGCAAUACAUGGGCGGCGACCGGCAAACGGGUGCGGAACACGUACGCAACCUUCCUUUAAGUGGGGGAUAGCCCAGGGAAACUUGGAUUAAUACCCCGUAAUAUUAUGAAGUGGCAUCACUUUAUACUUAUAGCUCCGGUGCUUAAAGAUGGGCGUGCGACGGGUUAGGUAGUUGGCGGGGUAACGGCCCACCAAGCCUGCGAUCAGUAACUGGUGUGAUAGCACGACCAGUCACACGGGCACUGAGACACGGGCCCGGCUCCUACGGGAGGCAGCAGUAAGGAAUAUUGGUCAAUGGACGCAAGUCUGAACCAGCCAUGCCGCGUGGAGGAUGAAGGUCCUCUGGAUUGUAAACUUCUUUUAUUUGGGAAGAAACCCACUGUUUCUACGGUGGUUGACGGUACCAGAUGAAUAAGCACCGGCUAACUCCGUGCCAGCAGCCGCGGUAA